rnacentral:tRNA from 6 species
GGAGAGAUGGUAGAGUGGUCGAUUACAACGGUCUUGAAAACCGUCGUGCUGAGAGGCACCGGGGGUUCGAAUCCCUCUCUCUCCGCUA